AAGCUCUGUUGUGGGUGGUCAUGUUUAUUUAUAUCUGCUUUUGUUGCCAGUCUUUCACAAAGCAGGGGAAGAGUUAUGGCUGGGGUCAUGGAAGUUUUCUCCUGCACCCCGUUCUAGUUUGAUGGUUUUAGAUUUUUACAUCUAGGAAUGGAUUCCUGUAUCCAGUAUAAGGUCCCACCCUCCCAAGAGUAAGCAAAGAAGAUUCAGACAAGAUAACCACAAAGAAGAGACUGAGACAGGACCAGCUUCCUAGAAGAAACAGAGACCAAGACAUUUGGGAAGGACACGCUCCAAACUUUUGAGCUGACUACAGGCUGUGCAAUGUGCUCCAGGUUCUUGACUUUUCUGAGCUGUCACCUGUGCUGUGGUAAACUUUGGUGAUGCAACUGUCCUUAAAUCAUUUCUGCUUUUGCAUCCAGACGUCUGGUGCACAUGCUGAAUUCCCAGAGCCUGUCUGGAGACAUGGGCGGGCUCUGCUCCCCUGACAUCUUUCCCCAGAAGCCUUUCUGUUUCUCCCUCUUUUUCCCUCCUGGAUUCUUCAGCAAAAAGGCUUACAGCUUGAGAGGGCAAAGUUUCUAGUUUACAAUCCCUGCUUCCCCCAGUGUUAAGGGCAUAUCAAGCCGUGCUUAAUGCAUGAGAAGGCUUAAUGAAACUUAGCAUUUUGGUUCUUGACGACUGGCCAGUUCACACGCCACUGACUCCCAAAGGAUUCAUAGUAAGUCUUUAACUUGACCCUUAGAAAGCAUUUAAGAAAAUUCAGGGAACCCAUCAAAACAAAACCCACAACCAGAUGCUGAGCUGUGAGCUAUGAGCAGCAGGCAUGUACUGGUCAAGGAAUUAGAUUACUCAAGGUGGUGACUCAUUCAGCAACUAUGUAGUGUUUGUGGUCGGGGAAACCUUCGCCAGAACAUGACUAAAAUCUAUUGGCAGCUUCUUAAAAGGAAUCAUGACGGGGCCUAAACCAAUGAGUAUAUCAGAGAACAACUCCGACAGUCAGUUGGAUCUCUUCUUUCACCACAUGGUUCUGAGGACCAAAGUCAGGCUCAGUGUUGUAUGAAGAGUUGAAGAAUAAGGACCUCACCCUGCAAGCCACGGCUGCUUUUAGAGCUGUAGAGGGGCUCCCACCUGCACACGUGCACCUGUGCGCCCUUAUGGCUGUCAAAUCCCCACUAAGUACCCCACUAAACAAGUGACACGGUCCAGUCUGCAACCUCUGUGGAGAAGAGUGGGGUUUGGCCACAGAGGGAAUCCUGCUAGAAUCAGAAGGAAGAAACCAGGAAAAAAGGUACAUUCAAGAAAGGGGAGUUUGUCUAUUUGAGGGAAGUAGGCAGUCUCUCUGGCCCUUGGGCGAUUUUUAAGGGUUACAUCUGUGUGUUACCCACACAUUCCACAACCGAUUCUUGUGAUGAGCAUACAUCUUUGGGGAAAAGGUUAUGGCCUUAGUGCAAGAUGGCGUCCUUGAGAGCAACACGGAGAGGAUCCCGAGAAAAGCCAGAGUGUCUUAUUGGGGCUCUGCCUAGCAACACCUGACCCACUAUCUGGGCUGAGCGUGAUUAAGCCAGGGAUUCAUUUUCAGGAAACAAUACCCUCAGACUUGUUCUCUGGGUCCUGGAGGAGGUGAAGCAUCCCUUUUAGAAAAGAGGACAAGUCAUCUACUGUAUAUAGUGGGGUGCUUUUAUAGAAAUGAGUCCUUGCUAACAUGUUUUGAGGUAAAAAUCAGACCUUAUUACAAUUAUUAUCACUGUCUCUGUCUGUCUGUCUCUCUCUGUGUGAGUGUCUAUGUAUGUGUGUGUGUGUGUGUGUGUACAUGUACACAUAUAUGUGUGACAGAUCAAGUUACCCUGCAACUCUACAUGUAGCUUAAGUUGGCCUCGAACAUCUGGCAAUCCUCCUGCUUCAGCCUCUCAAGUGCUAGGAUCACAGACAUGAGUUUCCAUGCUUGGCACACCUUUCCUUUUCUUUUUCUUUUCUAAAUAGAAUCUUUCACACAUAUGUGUGCAACACUGUGCUUUUACUACAUCCGCAUUUAGUUUUUCAAUGUUCCACAUUAAGUUAGCUUGCAGUUAAGUGUCUACACUGAUGACUAGUAUCUACCGAGCACAUUCUACACCCCGGAUACCAUCCAUGCAUUAACUCCACGAGCAGGGGGGCCUGUUAUUGUAUUAAUUUUAUGUGUGAUGAUAUCGAGACCCAGAGAGCUCAGCAAUGUUCCCACGUGUGACAGAAGCAGGGUGUGAGUCCAGCCGCUUAUUUUUCUUGUUACUUUUAAUUGUUCACAAUACAUCUCAAACACCGUCAAAUAGUUGCCUUGCCUGCUCUUUGAGACCGGGAGCAAGGGAACACUUGGAACGCACGGACAUCACACUGAGAUACCCACCCAGGGGCAACAGUCCUGUGAAUAAAUGUGUAACAACACAAACGGGGUGAGAACUUGCUGAGACGGCAUCUGUGCUCCGGGAUAGCUGGGGCUUUGUUGUUCUUUAAGCAGGCCACAUCUGGCUCUGGCAGCAAUUUUGAGAUGCUUUACAGUGACAUGUUCCGAAGUCUACCUUCUGUGUUCGCAUCACCUGAGCUCGAGGCCAGACCUGCUGGGGCUCCUCAAUGCCUUCAGUUCCAUGCCCUUCAGAAAGCCGAGUUCUGGAUCUCCAGACUCUCAUGGGUGACCCUGGACCCAGCCAGCGCUCCUGACUUCUGUGCUAGACCCUCUUCACAAUGAGGAGGUGCGCUUGUUGCAGCGUGUGUGUGGAGGUUAGAGACCUGGUGGAAGGAGCUCUUUCCUUUUACCAUGUGGGUCCGGGGAUCAAAUUCAAGUUGUCAAGCUUGCAGCAGGAGCCUCUCUGCCGGCCGAGCUUCUUCCCGACCCUGGCUCAGCGGUAUCUGAGAGAUGAUGAUGGUGAUGAUGAUGAUGGUGACGGUGAUGAUGAUGAUGAUGACGACGACGACGAUUAUUAUUAUUUUAGGUCUAGAACUAAUAAGGUCCUUUGAACUCAGCCCCAUUGACUUGGUCCAAAGUUAGUGGUCCGAUUUUUUCUUUUAACCUGACAUCUUAAAACUGGAGCUGUCCCUUCAAGGGGACCAGGUGAAGCUGAGCCUGAUGCCUCCCACCUGAGAAUGAGCAGCUAGGUACGCCUCCUCACAUCAGUGGUGCCAGCACUUGGGACUUUAAUAUUGUUAGGAUUUCCAGAAGUCUCUUUUUAGUGACUGAGAUCACCCAAGUUACUCCUUCACCGAGGAACAGGCCUCAGCAGCAUUUCCUUUUCCCUAAUACUAGCCCAUCCCACCUAACCCCACAUCUACUAGGGAUGGACGAACGUGGAAAGCACUUGCUACUCAAAGUGUGGUCCUCAGCCUGGACACCGGCAACAUCCAAAAGCUUCUUAGAAGUGCAAAAGGUCACACCCAUUCAUAGACUGAUGGAACAGAAGCUCUUUAAGGAUCCCAGGCACCCAGACCACAGCAAAAUAUUUCUUGUAACCCUUGGGACUGGAGAGAUGGUUCAGCCAUUAAGAAGGUGGACUGCUCUUACAGAGGGCCUGGCAGCUUACAAAUGCCUGUAACUCUAGGUCCAGCAGGACUGCGUGCCUUUGUGAGUGGACCCACACAUAUGGACACACACAACUGAGAAAAUAUUAAAAAUAGUUCUUGGGAUUCUGGAGCCAUUGUCCCUUUCUCCUUCUAUAGUUGCUCUGAGCACUUCCCGAAUUAAGCCUUGUACUGGAAUCUUUUGUGACCCUCUGAAGGUCAGGCAUUGGAUCCCUUCUGUCAGAGUGAGCCCUUGGACUACUGGACAGGUUUCGUUUUAGCGCUUUGCCGAUGUUUACUUACCUCUCGCUGUUCAAUAAGCGUCUUUGUGAGGACAAGGAAGAAACGGCAGGUACCUGAGAAGCUUCUGCACACAGCCAGAAAGGGUUUGAACGGAAAGCCUGCUCUGCAGCAUGGUUUACUUAAUAAAUGUUAAGUGAAAACAUUAAA
rnacentral:sRNA from 1 species